UUGACAUGAUGAGGAAUGCAAUUGUUGUCCGACCUAUUUGAUGAUAAAAUCCUCCUACUCAUUCUGA